rnacentral:rRNA from 1 species
AGCUCCAAUAGCGUAUAUUAAAGUUGUUGCGGUUAAAAAGCUCGUAGUUGGAUUUCUGCUGAGGACGACCGGUCCGCCCUCUGGGUGAGUAUCUGGCUCGGCCUGGGCAUCUUCUUGGAGAACGUAGCUGCACUUGAUUGUGUGGUGCGGUAUCCAAGACUUUUACUUUGAGGAAAUUAGAGUGUUUCAAGCAGGCACACGCCUUGAAUACAUUAGCAUGGAAUAAUAAGAUAGGACCUCGGUUCUAUUUUGUUGGUUUCUAGAACUGAGGUAAUGAUUAAUAGGGAUAGUUGGGGGGCAUUCGUAUUUAACUGUCAGAGGUGAAAUUCUUGGAUUUGUUAAAGACGGACUACUGCG